GAUGUCAAGAUGGCUGCCACAAACACCCAAGAACA
rnacentral:tRNA from 1 species